rnacentral:rRNA from 1 species
UACGUAGGUGGCAAGCGUUGUCCGGAUUUACUGGGCGUAAAGAGCGCGCAGGCGGUCGUUCAAGUCGCGUGUGAAAGCCCCCCGCUCAACUGGGGAGGGUCGCGCGAUACUGAUCGACUGGAAGGCAGGAGAGGGUAGUGGAAUUCCCGGUGUAGUGGUGAAAUGCGUAGAUAUCGGGAGGAACACCAGUGGCGAAGGCGGCGACCUGGACAGAUUAUUGACGCUGAGGUGCGAAAGCGUGGGGAGCAAACAGGG